CAGCCGCCGCGGGAACACGAGGGGGCUAGCGUUGUUCGGAAUUACUGGGCGUAAAGGGCGCGUAGGCGGCCAUUCAAGUUAGAUGUGAAAGCCCUGGGCUCAACCUAGGAAUUGCAUUUGAUACUGUUUGGCUUGAGUUCGGGAGAGGUGAGUGGAAUUCCCAGUGUAGAGGUGAAAUUCGUAGAUAUUGGGAAGAACACCAGUGGCGAAGGCGGCUCACUGGACCGACACUGACGCUGAGGCGCGAAAGCGUGGGGAGCAAACAGGAUUAGAUACCCCUGUAGUCCCUGUCUCUUAUACC
rnacentral:rRNA from 1 species